UUCCCUUAAAUUCCAUUGAAUUACUGCGAACCAAACGCCCACUAAAUUGAGCAUCAUUCCAACAUCCCUCUCUUUGUCUCGCUAUCAAACAACCAGAUCUCAAAACCUAAAACCAUCGAUUUCAAACAUCGCUCUCUCUGUCUCGUUCAUUCAAUUUAAGAGAUCCGAUCUGGAUAGAUGAUUUCAAGCUCUCAGAUCCAAACGCCGCUCAUACUCAUGUUUGUCGAUUGGAGUGUGGAUAAGCAUGUAUGUGUGAAGGAUUCAAAAGGGGAAGAGAUGCAGAAAGGAGUUGAAUAAUUCCUGGAGCUGAGAGAACAAAAGCAAAACAAAGAACAAAAACGGCUCGUGGUGCUAGUUGACUUCGUUCGUCUAUUUGGAACCCUAGAAGUUGGGCCUUGCAUUCGUCUUCUCAAAAAGUGGUGAUUUUGAUUCAGGUUUGUAGAAGUUGGUAUAGAAAACGAUCAUGUACGUGACGAAAAUGUUUCUGAUGCUGAUACCGGGUUGAAUCAGGCAAGUUUGUAGUUUCUUGGAUUAUAUGUAUCAGUAAAUGCAUUGUUUAUUAACUCUCUCAUCUGAGUAUAAGAUAUCCAGCCAUUUCAUUCCAAAUCACCUUCAUUUAUUGGAGACGAAAGAACUAAUUUAUCUGGGAAUGAAGCAGUUAAAACUGUAGCUUCAGCAAACACAGUUGGGAGAGAUGUGUGCUAGGACGACUUGCGGCUGAGCGGCUUCCCCUCCGAUGAGUUUUGGUGGUGGCAGUCGUCACAUCUGAAACCACCUAUCAUGUUUCAGCAACGGAGGAAGUAAUCUGUUUUACCGGCGGAUAACGGACUCCGUGGAGAAGCUCACCAGCGAUGGUAAUACCAGAAACGACAGCGGUGGCUCUCUUCAUGUAUUGCUGGUUCGGGCCCGGUGUAUUUCUGGUGGAGCUCCGAUUCACAGCUAUAACAGUGGCAGUUACAUCCCAUUGUAGCCCAUCGGGUAGAAUGACUACUACCAUGGCUUAAGUUUAUUAUGUAUCCUUGAUCUUAGUUCCACUUUUGUUUCAAUUGGCAAAUGAUUAUAGAAUCUUGCUUCUUCUCAUGGUAAAUUUCACUUGAAAAAGCUUGUUGCUAUUAAUUAGUUUCUUUUAAACUUUUUAAAAGUUUAACUUGUGCAUCUGGAAUUUAGAAAUAAUACUUUUU